rnacentral:misc_RNA from 1 species
AGGAGAUACACGAUUUAAAUAAUGGAAGAUCCAAUAUUUCACAAUUGUAUCUAGAAUAACUGGAAAAGUGGAAACAAGACCGGAUAUAAUUUUAUCGUUAUGAGCCAAUCCAAAAUCGUUGUAGACCGAACCAAUCAUAAGUUCCCAACCAUGGGUUGAAUGAAAUCCGAUCCAUAAAUCAGUAACUAAAAGAAUUGAAAAAGCUUUUAUUGUGUCACUCAAGUUAUACAGGAAU